UUUUAACUGUGAGUUUGCCUGUCGGCAAACGUCGUGUAUUGUAUGCCGUUUCUCACUUUGUUGCGAAACGGCGGAAAAUAAACAAUCCUCGGAAUUUGAAAAUUCCUGCGGUUGUUUAUUUUAUAA
rfam:Treponema pedis str. T A4, complete genome.